CAGAACUGACCAGAGUCAUCCACUGUGUCCUUAUUUAUUUAUUUAUUUAUUUAUUUAUUAUUUUUAAUAUUAUUUUAGAAGCUUCCAGAGCUUCUCUCUUAAUAUGCACUUUAAAUGAGAAGAGCUAAAUAUCGUGUGUAUCGUGUAACAGUGAAGCAGAUGAAGAUACUAAAGACAUUUCAUUAAAGAGUCUAAUAAAAUAUAACCGGUAGCAAAAGCGUGUAAACUUUUGUAGAGUGAAGGUUUGUUUGUGACUCUGCUGAAAAGUCUCCGGGUGCUUGAGUGUGUUUUUAAUGGUGGUAUCUCAGCAAUGUCCCUCAGCUGUGUGUGUGUGUGUGUGUGUGUGUGUGUGUGUGUGUGUGUGUGUGUGUGUGUGUGUGUAAGAGAGAGAGUUGCGAAAGCGGAGCUGACAGAGCAGAACGGUGCAGUCAUUACGGCCGCACUGCUUUCGCCUCACCACUGACUCCAGCGCGGCGAGCCUCACUUUACAGCUGACACCAAAUCAAUGCUGCUUUUCCACCUUAUCAAUUAAAGCACGUGUAAUUACAACCAUGCACAAUCACCCUUCACAAACACACACACGCGCACACACACACACACACACAUCCGGUGGCCUUUUCCAUUCCGGCUCUCAGCCUGUAUCUACCACUUCAUCUCACGCUGGCUGCUUUCCAAGUGUGGGAGAUAGGUCUUGUGUCUGAUGCCGCACUCAUGGCAUCCUGACAGGAAGUUUGGGAUUCUGCCAGAGCUGAAACAGCUGGCCUCGUCCACAUCGGUCCGUAACAUCACACAGCACGUGGAGUCUCGACGCAGGACGCCGAUCAUCUGGUGCUGGGAGUCAGAUGUACCACUGAGCGUUUACAGACCCAGCUGUGCCUACCCAUAAUGCACAGCAAGAUAACCAUACCAGAACAAAUUUAGGAGCCUGUUUAUAGCUCACUUUCUUUGUUCUAAAUAUAAGGAUGAGUGUGGCCUUUGUUUGGAAGUGCUUUCUUCAAGAGACACGAAGGGAACGAGCGAGCAUCCUUUAGAGUCAUGCUCGUUCCUCCGAAGGCCCGAGACGUGACGGGAGGAACGGAGGCGUCGCGGCGCUUCCUCAAUGACCUCUUUAACAAAGCACCAUCAUCAGAGUGUCAUCUAUCUGCUCAGUCUCAUUAUCUGGAUCCAGUCGCUCUUAGUGUCUUAAGGCUGUUUAGGAAGCAAAGAGGCAUCGAAAUGCACCACUUUUUUUGAAACGUACGGAUCUCCCAGAGAAGUUCCAGUCUAGGACGCAGAAAACUUGUGGCUGGUUUCAUUAAAAAGCAUCCGCAUCCCCCUGGCGCUGCACUAUCACACGGAGUUUCACCCAAAAUAAACUUAGUGUCUUUUUUUUCCAGUAUCGUUUUUUUUUUCCUGUUCGUGCUGUGAGACAUAAAUAUAAAACUACGCAAAGAAAAAGAAGUGAUUAGCAUAAUAUUAGCGUCGCCUGUGACUUCCUGUCUCUUUGUCAGGUUGUGAAUAGAGAUAGAAAUCUGCGACGUGUCAUUUCCCGGCUUCUUGCUCGGGAUCGAUAGGAAGCACGACCCUGAGAAUCAGCUGGUCAGCAGCAGCACUUUACCAAAACACACUCAUCUCUCUCUCGCUCUCUCUUAGACUCACACACACACACACACACACGGGGGGGAACAGAGUGGAACAAAAGAGGAAGUGUGACAUUUAAGAGAAAGAAAAAUAGUCAAUUCCAUGAGGGCCAGAAGUUUGUAUAGAAUUUAUAGCAUUGCAUUUUUAUGAGAAAUGUAUUGCAGCAUGGCAAUUGUAAAAAAAAUGUGAUCAUUAUACAGGAAAUAAAUAGCGUGAG